GCAAACUUGGUCAUUUAGAGGAAGUAAAAGUCGUAACAAGGUUUCCGUAGGUGAACCUGCGGAAGGAUCAUUAACGAAAGCUAGAAGCGGGUGGGCUGUCGCUGGCGAUCCUCUCUUGGGUCGCAUGUGCACGUCUGCCUUGCCUUUACCUUUUCUCCACCUGUGCACCUUUGUAGGGGACCUGGAUGCAGCGCUCUCAGAGGGGGUUAACACCUUCUUUGGAUUUGGGAUUGUCGGUCGGCUUUCCUUGGUGGGCUUUCAGCGCUGGAUGUUGGAUUGCAGGCCUUUGACGGGUCAGCUCUCCUUGGUUGUCCGGUGUCUUCUAUGUUUUUUACACACUACAAAAAUUGAAAUAGAAUGUUUGCAUCUGGGGAUAAAUAAUACAACUUUCAGCAACGGAUCUCUUGGCUCUCGCAUCGAUGAAGAACGCAGC
rnacentral:misc_RNA from 1 species